rnacentral:rRNA from 1 species
AUACGUAGGGUGCGAGCGUUGUCCGGAAUUACUGGGCGUAAAGAGCUCGUAGGUGGUUUGUCGCGUCGUCUGUGAAAUUCCGGGGCUUAACUCCGGGCGUGCAGGCGAUACGGGCAUAACUUGAGUACUGUAGGGGAGACUGGAAUUCCUGGUGUAGCGGUGAAAUGCGCAGAUAUCAGGAGGAACACCGGUGGCGAAGGCGGGUCUCUGGGCAGUAACUGACGCUGAGGAGCGAAAGCAUGGGUAGCGAACAGGAUUAGAUACCCUGGUAGUCCAUGCCGUAAACGGUGGGCGCUAGGUGUAGGGGUCUUCCACGACUUCUGUGCCGUAGCUAACGCAUUAAGCGUCCCGCCUGGGGAGUACGGCCGCAAGGCUAAAACUCAAAGGAAUUGACGGGG